UGAGCAAAGCAAGGGUCGACUGAAAGUGUGGAGUCUAAGACAAAGGAGGUGGAGAAGGCCUUCCUGGUGCAAAGAGUUCAAGGACCAGGCCACGCAAGCUUCCUGGGAGCCGAGGUCCACUGGAGGCUUGGCAGGACGGUCUCACUGCCACGUCCUGGGGAGACCCCGCCCGCGCCACCUUCUCGGCCACCUCCCCUGGCUCCAUUGGCAUCUCAGGUGGUCCCUCUGAGAGGAGCUGGUGGGUGCUGUCACCCUUCUCACCUCACCUGAGCACAGGGAGAUGGCGAGCGGCCGGCGGCCGUGGCCCAGUGUCAGCUCCUGUUCACUCUGGGCACUCUGUCCUCACACGAGGGUGUCCACAGACAUGGGUACCCUGGUGCCAGGCUCUGCUCCUCUGGCCGGUUGGUGUGAAUGCACGAGGGCGACCCCAGAGGCAGGAUGCAGAAAAAUGAAGGAAUCAGUCAUUGUGCUCUGAGCCGUGAUGCGAUCUUUUUUCUUUUCUUUUUUUAUUGGGUGACUUUAAGUGAUGACAGGGCCACACAGAUUGCAUGACUAACUCUGCUCAAAGCAGCAUACUCCUUUGUAGCCUUUUGCAGUUUGAACGCUGAUUUCAUGGGCACUACUUCAUGGUGGUGAGGUGAACGGGAGGGCACGGUGGGUUCAUCCUAGGGGAUCAGGAGAUGACCAGGGAAUGCAUAAGAAACCCCGAGGGGAAGCAAACACAGUGAGAGGGGAAAGAGAGGGAAGUGAUUGAGCAAGACAACAGCAUUUUGUUCUUGUUCCUUUAAGAAUACAUGUUCUAGGCCGGAAUCCCACAGGCUGGAGGCUGAGGCAGGAGAAUCAUGAGUUCAAAGCCAGCCUCAGCAACUUAAUGAGACCCUAAGCAGCUUAGCAGGAUGCUGUCUCAAAACAAAAAAUAAAAAGGGUUGGGUAUGUGGCUCAGUGAUUAAGUAGUGGGUUCAAUCCCUGGUAACCAAAAAAACAAAACCAAACCAAA
rnacentral:lncRNA from 1 species